rnacentral:lncRNA from 1 species
UUAACUUUUAAUCAUUCAGUUCCUUUUGUGUCAUAACUCGGUAUGAUUGUGUGAAUUGCAAGAUGUGCAAUAAAACUAAGUUUGGGGUGGAAAUCUUGAAAGAGAAGGCAAGUGCAUAAGAUGAGAUCAUACAAAAAGAAAAACAGUAUGUAUUUUCUUUAUAAGAAAAAAAGAGAAAAAAAAAGAAAAAGAAAAGAAACACAAAAGAGAAAAAUGCACUUGCCGAGACUUUAGACUCUAACAGAUAUAAAAUGCUCGGAAAAUGUGAGUAGAAAAAAAGUCAAAAGAGUUUUUACCCCAGAGU